AGCGAGAGGGCGAGGAAUACAAUACCCGAAAGGGGAAUAACUCCGACCUGCCUUAGGUUUUCGAACCUCUCGCUCGCCCUAU
rnacentral:ncRNA from 1 species